GUCCGCACCGUAAACGAUGAUUACUCGUUGUUGGCGAUAUGACAGUCAGCGACCAAGCGAAAGCGAUAAGUAAUCCACCUGGGGAGUACGCCGGCAACGGUGAAACUCAAAGGAAUUGACGGGGGCCCGCACAAGCGGAGGAGCAUGUGGUUUAAUUCGAUGAUACGCGAGGAACCUUACAUGGGCUUGAAAGUUAGUGACCGGUUCUGAAAGGAACUUUUCCGCAAGGACACGAAACUAGGUGCUGCAUGGCUGUCGU
rnacentral:rRNA from 1 species